GACGAACGCUGGCGGCGUGCUUAACACAUGCAAGUCGAACGAAGAGCGACGGAAGCUUGCUUCUAUCAAUCUUAGUGGCGAACGGGUGAGUAACGCGUAAUCAACCUGCCCUUCAGAGGGGGACAACAGUUGGAAACGACUGCUAAUACCGCAUACGAUCUAACCUCGGCAUCGAGGAUAGAUGAAAGGUGGCCUCUACAUGUAAGCUAUCACUGAAGGAGGGGAUUGCGUCUGAUUAGCUAGUUGGAGGGGUAACGGCCCACCAAGGCGAUGAUCAGUAGCCGGUCGGAGAGGAGGAACGGCAACAUUGGGAAUGAGACACGGCCCAGACUCCUACGGGAGGCAGCAGUGGGGAAUCUUCCGAAAUGGACGAAAGUCUGACGGAGCAACGCCGCGUGAGUGAUGACGGCCUUCGGGUUGUAAAGCUCUGUUAAUCGGGACGAAAGGCCUUCUUGCGAAUAGUGAGAAGGAUUGACGGUACCGGAAUAGAAAGCCACGGCUAACUACGUG
rnacentral:rRNA from 1 species